CGCGUAGGCGGCUUGCCAAGUCAGUGGUGAAAUCCUGCAGCUUAACUGCAGAAGUGCCUUUGAUACUGGCGAGCUCGAGGGAGGUAGGGGUAUGUGGAACUUCUGGUGGAGCGGUGAAAUGCGUUGAUAUCAGAAGGAACGCCGGUGGCGAAAGCGACGUACUGGACCUCUUCUGACGCUGAGGCGCGAAAGCUAGGGGAGCAAACGGGAUUAGAUACCCCGGUAGUCCUAGCCCUAAACGUUGGGUACUAGGUUGUGGACUAACAUGGGUUCACAGCCGAAGCAAAAGUGUUAAGUACCCCGCCUGGGGAGUAUGGUCGCAAGGCUGAA
rnacentral:rRNA from 1 species